AUUGAACGCUGGCGGCAGGCCUAACACAUGCAAGUCGAACGGUAACAGGAAGAAGCUUGCUUCUUUGCUGACGAGUGGCGGACGGGUGAGUCAUGUCUGGGAAACUGCCUGAUGGAGGGGGAUAACUACUGGAAACGGUAGCUAAUACCGCAUAAUGUCGCAAGACCAAAGAGGGGGACCUUCGGGCCUCUUGCCAUCGGAUGUGCCCAGAUGGGAUUAGCUAGUAGGUGGGGUAACGGCUCACCUAGGCGACGAUCCCUAGCUGGUCUGAGAGGAUGACCAGCCACACUGGAACUGAGACACGGUCCAGACUCCUACGGGAGGCAGCAGUGGGGAGUAUUGCACAAUGGGCGCAAGCCUGAUGCAGCUAUGCCGCGUGUAUGAAGAAGGCCUUCGGGUUGUAAAGUACUUUCAGCGGGGAGGAAGGGAGUAAAGUUAAUACCUUUGCUCAUUGACGUUACCCGCAGAAGAAGCACCGGCUAACUCCGUG
rnacentral:rRNA from 1 species